rnacentral:rRNA from 1 species
GGAUGACGUCAAGUCAUCAUGCCCCUUACGUCCUGGGCUACACACGUACUACAAUGCUACGGACAAAGGGCAGCAAGUUCGCGAGGACAAGCAAAUCCCAUAAACCGUGGCUCAGUUCAGAUCGUAGGCUGCAACUCGCCUACGUGAAGGAGGAAUCGCUAGUAAUCGCAGGUCAGCAUACUGCGGUGAAUACGUUCCCGGGCCUUGUACACACCGCCCGUCACACCAUGGAAGUUGGCCACG